rnacentral:rRNA from 1 species
GGGUUGUGAGGUUAAGCGACUAAGCGUACACGGUGGAUGCCCUGGCAGUCAGAGGCGAUGAAGGACGUGCUAAUCUGCGAUAAGCGUCGGUAAGGUGAUAUGAACCGUUAUAACCGGCGAUUUCCGAAUGGGGAAACCCAGUGUGAUUCGUCACACUAUCAUUAACUGAAUCCAUAGGUUAAUGAGGCGAACCGGGGGAACUGAAACAUCUAAGUACCCCGAGGAAAAGAAAUCAACCGAGAUUCCCCCAGUAGCGGCGAGCGAACGGGGAGCAGCCCAGAGCCUGAAUCAGUGUGUGUGUUAGUGGAAGCGUCUGGAAAGGCGCGCGAUACAGGGUGACAGCCCCGUACACAAAAAUGCACAUGCUGUGAGCUCGAUGAGUAGGGCGGGACACGUGGUAUCCUGUCUGAAUAUGGGGGGACCAUCCUCCAAGGCUAAAUACUCCUGACUGACCGAUAGUGAACCAGUACCGUGAGGGAAAGGCGAAAAGAACCCCGGCGAGGGGAGUGAAAAAGAACCUGAAACCGUGUACGUACAAGCAGUGGGAGCACAGAGCAAUCUGUGUGACUGCGUACCUUUUGUAUAAUGGGUCAGCGACUUAUAUUCUGUAGCAAGGUUAACCGAAUAGGGGAGCCGAAGGGAAACCGAGUCUUAACUGGGCGUUAAGUUGCAGGGUAUAGACCCGAAACCCGGUGAUCUAGCCAUGGGCAGGUUGAAGGUUGGGUAACACUAACUGGAGGACCGAACCGACUAAUGUUGAAAAAUUAGCGGAUGACUUGUGGCUGGGGGUGAAAGGCCAAUCAAACCGGGAGAUAGCUGGUUCUCCCCGAAAGCUAUUUAGGUAGCGCCUCGUGAAUUCAUCUCCGGGGGUAGAGCACUGUUUCGGCAAGGGGGUCAUCCCGACUUACCAACCCGAUGCAAACUGCGAAUACCGGAGAAUGUUAUCACGGGAGACACACGGCGGGUGCUAACGUCCGUCGUGAAGAGGGAAACAACCCAGACCGCCAGCUAAGGUCCCAAAGUCAUGGUUAAGUGGGAAACGAUGUGGGAAGGCCCAGACAGCCAGGAUGUUGGCUUAGAAGCAGCCAUCAUUUAAAGAAAGCGUAAUAGCUCACUGGUCGAGUCGGCCUGCGCGGAAGAUGUAACGGGGCUAAACCAUGCACCGAAGCUGCGGCAGCGACGCUUAUGCGUUGUUGGGUAGGGGAGCGUUCUGUAAGCCUGUGAAGGUGUACUGUGAGGUAUGCUGGAGGUAUCAGAAGUGCGAAUGCUGACAUAAGUAACGAUAAAGCGGGUGAAAAGCCCGCUCGCCGGAAGACCAAGGGUUCCUGUCCAACGUUAAUCGGGGCAGGGUGAGUCGACCCCUAAGGCGAGGCCGAAAGGCGUAGUCGAUGGGAAACAGGUUAAUAUUCCUGUACUUGGUGUUACUGCGAAGGGGGGACGGAGAAGGCUAUGUUGGCCGGGCGACGGUUGUCCCGGUUUAAGCGUGUAGGCUGGUUUUCCAGGCAAAUCCGGAAAAUCAAGGCUGAGGC